UUCUGAAUAGUCAAAACUAUAAGUGUCCAUGAGAAAUCGGACUACCAGCAAGAAAAUUACAAACAUCAGAAGAGAUGCAAAAAGAGCACUGCUGGGCCUGCAAGGUCUCUGUUGAGCAGCGGAUGCGGGUCUCUGUUCCACAGGAUGGAGUUGGUUGUUCAAGUUGUUAAGAAU
rnacentral:lncRNA from 1 species